rnacentral:rRNA from 1 species
CCAAUAGCGUAUAUUAAAGUUGUUGCAGUUAAAAAGCUCGUAGUUGAAUUUCGAGACCGGCUUAUUGGUCGUGCUUUUGUACGUACUGGUAAAUCGGUUUCUCCUUUCUGACGAACUUUAAUGCCAUUAAUUUGGUGUUUUAGGGAAUCAGGACUGUUACUUUGAACAAAUUAGAGUGUUUAAAGCAGGCUUACGCUUGAAUACAUUAGCAUGGAAUAACGGAAUAGGACGUUUGAUUCUAUUUUGUUGGUUUCUAGGAUCGACGUAAUGAUUAAUAGGGAUAGUUGGGGGCAUUAGUAUUCAAUUGUCAGAGGUGAAAUUCUUGGAUUUAUUGAAGACUAACUACUGCGAAAGCAUUUGCCAAGGAUGUUUUCAUUAAUCAAGAACGAAAGUUAGGGGAUCGAAGACGAUCAGAUACCGUCGUAGUCUUAACCAUAAACUAUGCCGACUAGGGAUCGGAUGAUGUUAAUUUUUUAAUGACUCAUUCGGCGCCUUACG